UUGAUAGUUUAAAUGUUUACAGUGCAAGUGUGAAAGGUCUAUACAGUAGGUCACUUUUUAUACAGUAUAAGCGAAGAAGCACUAUGGUUGAAGACUAAUUAAAUUAAAUGACUUGGCUUGGUCAUGAUGCAAAUUCACCAGGAUAUUAUUCCUAACAUACUGUAGGAAACUUUAUUAAUAAAUUUUCUGGAACAUGAGGUUAAAGUUAAAUAUAUCGGCUUGCAAAAAGACCACUCUCGCCUCCAAUAACAAUAACCUCACUCUUGUACACAACACUGACAUGAGAAAAAACUUCCUUCGCCAUCAUCAACCAAACUUAGCCUUUCAAGAUCACCACCUUAAUUCCCAUAAUCUCCCCCCUCCCCAAACAUUCAAGCUUUGUAGACAAAAGCUGAUGCCAAAUAUCGGUCU